rnacentral:rRNA from 1 species
GGGAAACUGGGUCUAAUACCGGAUAGGAGCGCCGACCGCAUGGUGGGUGUUGGAAAGAUUUAUCGGUUUUGGAUGGACUCGCGGCCUAUCAGCUUGUUGGUGAGGUAAUGGCUCACCAAGGCGACGACGGGUAGCCGGCCUGAGAGGGUGACCGGCCACACUGGGACUGAGACACGGCCCAGACUCCUACGGGAGGCAGCAGUGGGGAAUAUUGCACAAUGGGCGCAAGCCUGAUGCAGCGACGCCGCGUGAGGGAUGACGGCCUUCGGGUUGUAAACCUCUUUCAGUAGGGAAGAAGCGAAAGUGACGGUACCUGCAGAAGAAGCACCGGCUAACUACGUGCCAGCAGCCGCGGUAAUACGUAGGGUGCGAGCGUUAUCCGGAAUUAUUGGGCGUAAAGAGCUCGUAGGCGGUUUGUCGCGUCUGUCGUGAAAGUCCGGGGCUUAACCCCGGAUCUGCGGUGGGUACGGGCAGACUAGAGUGCAGUAGGGGAGACUGGAAUUCCUGGUGUAGCGGUGGAAUGCGCAGAUAUCAGGAGGAACACCGAUGGCGAAGGCAGGUCUCUGGGCUGUAACUGACGCUGAGGAGCGAAAGCAUGGGGAGCGAACAGGAUUAGAUACCCUGGUAGUCCAUGCCGUAAACGUUGGGCACUAGGUGUGGGGACCAUUCCACGGUUUCCGCGCCGCAGCUAACGCAUUAAGUGCCCCGCCUGGGGAGUACGGCCGCAAGGCUAAAACUCAAAGGAAUUGACGGGGGCCCGCACAAGCGGCGGAGCAUGCGGAUUAAUUCGAUGCAACGCGAAGAACCUUACCAAGGCUUGACAUGUUCUCGAUCGCCGUAGAGAUACGGUUUCCCCUUUGGGGCGGGUUCACAGGU